GGCACACACCACUGCUGCAAGCAUGUGGAGUUUUUUUAAAGAAGUUAUAUCAUCAAGACAAUGAUUCUAGGAAAUACAAUAUUGGGAUUGAGAUUGGUGAAUAUACUUAGUGGACAAAGACUGUUUAGGAAUACUAUUCUGGUUUUAUAAACUUGUGGUUAGAAUACAACUCUAUCAUAUAUAAAACUGUUCCUACGGAAGCUUUGAUGAUAAUUCAAACUUU
rnacentral:lncRNA from 1 species